AUUGAACGCUGGCGGCAGGCCUAACACAUGCAAGUCGAGCGGAGCGGCGGACGGGUGAUUCAUACCUAGGAAUCUGCCUGGGGGUGGGGGCUGACGUUCGGAAAGGGACGCUAAUACCGCAUACUAUAACAUGACCCUAGGUCGGAGUAGCUAGUUGGGGUGGUAAUGGCUCACCAAGGCGACGAACCGUAUCCGGUCUGAGAGGAUGAACAGUCACCCUGGAACUGAGACACGGUCCAGACUCCUACGGGAGGCAGCAGUGGGGAAUAUUGGACAAUGGGCGAAAGCCUGAUCCAGCCAUGCCGCGUGUGUGAAGAAGGUCUUCGGAUUGUAAAGCACUUUAAGUUGGGAGGCGUUACCGACAGAAUAAGCACCGGCUAACUCGGUGCCAGCAGCCGCGGUAAUAC
rnacentral:rRNA from 1 species